GUUGGUAGAGCUCAGUGGUAGAGUGCGUGCUUAGCAUGUAUGAGGUCCUGGGUUCAAUCCCCACUGCCUCCA
rnacentral:tRNA from 1 species